rnacentral:rRNA from 1 species
AUGUCUCUGGGUGUGUUGAGUUGGAAUGUGAGGGGGUUGAACAACCCCGCGAGGCGUUCGUCUAUUAGACUUUUUAUGCAAUCCUGUAAUGCCGCUCUAGUUUGUCUGCAAGAAUCUAAGCUUGACAGUGUUGAUGCGUCGGUGGUUUGUAAUACCCUUGGGCCAGGGUUCGGUGGUUUUGAGGCUCUGCCGGUGGUGGGCACCCGCGGGGGUAUUUUGAUGGCUUGGAAGCCUGACGUUCUGCGUGUCAUGGUUGUUCACAAAGGCGAGUACUAA